ACGAACGCUGGCGGCGUGCCUAAUACAUGCAAGUCGAGCGGUGCUAUUUCGGUAGCAUAGCGGCGAACGGGUGAGUAACACGUGGGCAAUCUGCCCCCAAGACAGGGAUAACUUCGGGAAACCGGAGCUAAUACCAGAUAAUCUUUUUCCUCGCAUGGGGAGAAAGUAAAAGGCUUCGGCCGUUUGGGGAUGAGCCCGCGACGCAUUAGCUAGUUGGUGGGGUAAAGGCCUACCAAGGCGACGAUGCGUAGCCGACCUGAGAGGGUGACCGGCCACACUGGGACUGAGACACGGCCCAGACUCCUACGGGAGGCAGCAGUAGGGAAUUUUCCGCAAUGGGCGAAAGCCUGACGGAGCAACGCCGCGUGAGUGAAGACGGUUUUCGGAUUGUAAAACUCUGUUCUGUGGGAAGAAAAAAAUGACGGUACCAUAGGAGAAAGCCCCGGCUAACUACGU
rnacentral:rRNA from 1 species